rnacentral:rRNA from 1 species
UACGGAAGGCAGCAGUGGGGAAUAUUGCACAAUGGGCGCAAGCCUGAUGCAGCCAUGCCGCGUGUAUGAAGAAGGCCUUCGGGUUGUAAAGUACUUUCAGUCGUGAGGAAGGUGUUAAGGUUAAUAACCUUAGCAAUUGACGUUAGCGACAGAAGAAGCACCGGCUAACUCCGUGCCAGCAGCCGCGGUAAUACGGAGGGUGCGAGCGUUAAUCGGAAUUACUGGGCGUAAAGGGCACGCAGGCGGUUAAUUAAGUUGGAUGUGAAAUCCCCGGGCUUAACCUGGGAAUGGCAUUCAAGACUGGUUAGCUAGAGUCUUGUAGAGGGGGUUAGAAUUCCAUGUGUAGCGGUGAAAUGCGUAGAGAUGUGGAGGAAUACCGGUGGCGAAGGCGGCCCCUGGGACAAGACUGACGCUCAUGUGCGAAAGCUGGGGAGCAAACAGGAUUAGAUACC